rnacentral:rRNA from 1 species
AGACACGGCCCAGACUCCUACGGGAGGCAGCAGUGGGGAAUAUUGCACAAUGGGCGCAAGCCUGAUGCAGCGACGCCGCGUGCGGGAUGACGGCCUUCGGGUUGUAAACCGCUUUUGACUGGGAGCAAGCCCUUCGGGGUGAGUGUACCUUUCGAAUAAGCACCGGCUAACUACGUGCCAGCAGCCGCGGUAAUACGUAGGGUGCAAGCGUUAUCCGGAAUUAUUGGGCGUAAAGGGCUCGUAGGCGGUUCGUCGCGUCCGGUGUGAAAGUCCAUCGCUUAACGGUGGAUCCGCGCCGGGUACGGGCGGGCUUGAGUGCGGUAGGGGAGACUGGAAUUCCCGGUGUAACGGUGGAAUGUGUAGAUAUCGGGAAGAACACCAAUGGCGAAGGCAGGUCUCUGGGCCGUUACUGACGCUGAGGAGCGAAAGCGUGGGGAGCGAACAGGAUUAGAUACCCUGGUAGUCCACGCCGUAAACGGUGGAUGCUGGAUGUGGGGCCCGUUCCACGGGUUCCGUGUCGGAGCUAACGCGUUAAGCAUCCCGCCUGGGGAGUACGGCCGCAAGGCUAAAACUCAAAGAAAUUGACGGGGGCCCGCACAAGCGGCGGAGCAUGCGGAUUAAUUCGAUGCAACGCGAAGAACCUUACCUGGGCUUGACAUGUUCCCGACAGCCGUAGAGAUACGGUCUCCCUUCGGGGCGGGUUCACAGGUGGUGCAUGGUCGUCGUCAGCUCGUGUCGUGAGAUGUUGGGUUAAGUCCCGCAACGAGCGCAACCCUCGCCCUGUGUUGCCAGCACGUCGUGGUGGGAACUCACGGGGGACCGCCGGGGUCAACUCGGAGGAAGGUGGGGAUGACGUCAGAUCAUCAUGCCCCUUACGUCCAGGGCUUCACGCAUGCUACAAUGGCCGGUACAACGGGAUGCGACCUCGUGAGGGGGAGCGGAUCCCUUAAAACCGGUCUCAGUUCGGAUUGGAGUCUGCAACCCGACUCCAUGAAGGCGGAGUCGCUAGUAAUCGCGGAUCAGCAACGCCGCGGUGAAUGCGUUCCCGGGCCUUGUACACACCGCCCGUCAAGUCAUGAAAGUGGGUAGCACCCGAAGCCGGUGGCCCAACCUUUUGGGGGGAGCCGUCUAAGGUGAGACUCGUGAUUGGGACUAAGUCGUAACAAGGUAGCCGUACCGGAAGGUGCGGCUG